UACGUAGGGGGCAAGCGUUGUCCGGAUUCAUUGGGCGUAAAGAGCGUGUAGGCGGCCAGGUAGGUCGGUUGUGAAAACUGGAGGCUCAACCUUCAGACGUCGACCGAAACCAUCUGGCUGGAGUUCGGUAGGGGAGACUGGAAUUCCUGGUGUAGCGGUGAAAUGCGCAGAUAUCAGGAGGAACACCGGUGGCGAAGGCGGGUCUCUGGGCCGAUACUGACGCUGAGGAGCGAAAGCGUGGGGAGCGAACAGG
rnacentral:rRNA from 1 species